rnacentral:rRNA from 1 species
CCCCCGACUGUUUACUUAAAACACAGAUAUCUGCGAUGAUUAAAUUAUUUGUAUAGAUGUCGAAUUUUGCCCAAUGCCAUUAAUAUAAAGAAGGUGAGUUUAAUUUACCGACUGAAAAUCUGGUCAAUGGCGGUCUUAACUAUAAGGAUCCAAAGGUAGCAAAAUUCAUUGUCCACUAAAUACGGUCCUGCAUGAAUAAAGUAACGAUGGGUUCACUGUCUCUACAAGUAUCUCAGUGAAAUUGAAUUAGCCGUGCAGAU